rnacentral:rRNA from 1 species
UACGUAGGUGGCAAGCGUUGUCCGGAUUUACUGGGCGUAAAGAGCGCGCAGGCGGUCGUACAAGUCGCGUGUGAAAGCCCCCGGCUCAACUGGGGAGGGUCACGCGAUACUGUUCGACUCGAAGGCAGGAGAGGGAAGCAGAAUUCCUGGUGUAGCGGUGAAAUGCGCAGAUAUCAGGAGGAACACCGAUGGCGAAGGCAGGUCUCUGGGCCACUACUGACGCUGAGAAGCGAAAGCAUGGGGAGCGAACAGG